CCUACGGGCGGCAGCAGUGGGGAAUAUUGCACAAUGGGGGAAACCCUGAUGCAGCAACGCCGCGUGAAGGAAGACGGUUUUCGGAUUGUAAACUUCUGUUCUUAGUGAAGAAUAUUGACGGUAGCUACUGAGCAAGCCACGGCUAAAUACGUGCCAGCAGCCGCGGUAAUACGUAGGUGGCAAGCGUUGUCCGGAAUUACUGGGUGGAAAGGGAGCGCAGGCGGGAAGCCAAGUCAGCAGUGAAAACUAAGGGCUUAACUUGUGGACUGCAGUGGAAACGGGUUUGCUUGAGUGAAGUAGAGGUUGGCGGAAUUCCGAGUGUAGCGGUGAAAUGCGUAGAUAUUCGGAGGAACACCGGUGGCGAAGGCGGCCAACUGGGCUUUAACUGACGCUGAGGCUCGAAAGUGUGGGGAGCAAACAGGAUUAGAUACCCUUGUAGUC
rnacentral:rRNA from 1 species